GAAAUGCGAUAAGUAAUGUGAAUUGCAGAAUUCAGUGAAUCAUCGAAUCUUUGAACGCAACUGGCGCUUUUUGGUAUUCCAAAAAGCAUGCCUGUUUGAUAUCUAGUGAAACAAAAACAUUCUGCUAUUGCGGAUAGUUUUCUAUGGAUUUAUCUUGUUUAUCCAAGUCAUCCAAAAUUCACCAUGCUAUUGAUUUACUCUAUAGUUUUAAGCUUAAGUGAUUGUAUUUUAUGCAAUUUUUUUGCGUGCAAUAUUUUUGUCAUUUUCGUUUUUGACUUAAUUUAAAGAGUAAAUUGAUGGCAUGCAAAAGCAUUGCUCGUCAGAGUAAUUUUUGAAUUAGGUAUCAAAUCAGGUAGGAUUACCCGCUGAACUUAA
rnacentral:misc_RNA from 1 species